AUGGCAAUGCAGACGGGCUGCUGCUCGGCGGCGGCGGUCCUCCUCUUCCUGGUGGUUGCCGCGGCCGGUGCGUCGGUCGCGGGGGCGACGUAUGUCAGGUACAAAGACCCCAAGCAGCCGAUCCAGGCGCGCGUGGAGGAUCUCCUCAGCCGGAUGAGGAUCGAGGAGAAGAUCGGGCAGAUGACGCAGAUCGAGCGCCACAACGCCUCCUCCGCCGUCAUCGAGAAGUACUUCGUCGGGAGCGUGCUGAGCGGUGGCGGCAGCGUGCCGUCGGAGAAGGCGUCGGCGGCGACGUGGCAGGAGAUGAUCACCAAGAUGCAGAAGGCGGCGCUCAGCACCCGCCUCGGCAUCCCCAUCAUCUACGGCAUCGACGCCGUGCAUGGCAACAACAACGCCUACAAUGCCACCAUCUUCCCCCACAACGUCGGCCUUGGCGCCACCAGGGACCCCGACCUUGUCAAGCGCAUCGGCCGCGCCACGGCGCUCGAGGCCAGGGCCACCGGCAUCCCCUACACCUUCGCGCCAUGCGUCGCGGUUUGCCGUGAUCCGAGGUGGGGCGGGUGCUACGAGAGCUUCAGCGAGGACACGAAGCUGGUGCAGCUGAUGACGUCGGCCAUCAUCCCCGGCCUGCAGGGCGACGUCUCCACCAAGCACCCCAGGGGCGUCCCCUUCGUGGGCGGGCCCAAGCACGUGGCCGCCUGCGCCAAGCACUUCGUCGGCGACGGCGGGACGCACCACGGGAUCAGCGGCAACAACACGGUGCUCAGCUUCCACGACCUGAUGCGGAUCCACAUGCCGCCCUACUACGACGCCGUCAUCAAGGGCGUCGCCUCCGUCAUGAUCUCCUACUCAAGCUGGAACGGCGUCAAGAUGCACGAGAACAAGUACCUCAUCACCCAAAUCCUCAAGGAGAAGAUGCACUUCAGGGGUUUUGUGAUCACGGACUGGCAGGCGGUGGACAAGAUCACCACCCCGCCGCACAAGCACUACUACCACUCCAUCCAGGAGACCAUCCACGCCGGCAUCGACAUGGUCAUGAUCCCAUUCGACUACCCCGAGUUCGUCGCCGACGUCCAGGCCCAGGUCAUGCGCGGCGCUAUCAAGAUGGACCGCAUCAACGACGCCGUCUCCCGCAUCCUCAGGGUCAAGUUCACCAUGGGCCUCUUCGAGAACCCCUUCCCCGAACACAGCCUCACCGCCCAGCUCGGCACCAAGGAGCACCGGGAGCUCGCCAGGGAGGCCGUCAGGAAGUCCCUCGUGCUGCUCAAGAACGGCAAAGGCAGGAAAGACGGCAAGCCCGUCCUCCCGCUCUCCAAGAAGGCCAAGAAGAUCCUCGUGGUCGGCACCCACGCCCACGACCUCGGCCUCCAGUGCGGCGGCUGGACCAAGUCGUGGCAGGGUCAGUCCGGCAACGGCAUCACCGGCCAAGGCACCACCAUCCUUGAGGCCAUCAAGUCGGCCGUGGACAAGAAGACGGUCAUCGACUACACGGAGCACCCGGACAAGGGCUCCGUCUCCAAGAACGAGGACGAGUACGACUACGCUGUGGUGGUGGUGGGCGAGAACCCGUACGCCGCCACGGCCGGCGACAACCUGAACCUCACCAUCCCGGGACCCGGGCCGGAGGUCAUCAGGAAGGUGUGCGAGCUCGUCAAGUGCGUCGUCGUCCUCGUCUCGGGCCGUCCGCUCGUCGUCGAGCCGUACCUGGACACCAUGGACGCGCUCGUCGCCGCCUGGCUGCCGGGCACCGAGGGCCACGGCGUCGCCGACGUGCUCUUCGGAGACCACGGAUUCUCUGGCAAGCUGCCCCGGACGUGGGUCAGGUCCGUCGACCAGCUGCCCAUGAACUACGGCGACAAGCUCUACGACCCGCUCUUCCCCUUCGGGUUCGGACUCACCACCAAGCCAGCGGAUCGCAGCUAG
rnacentral:rRNA from 1 species